rnacentral:rRNA from 1 species
UACAGAGGGUGCGAGCGUUGUCCGGAAUCAUUGGGCGUAAAGGGCGCGUAGGUGGCUCCGCAAGUCCGUGGUGAAAGCUGGAUGCUCAACAUCGAGUCGGCCACGGAGACUGCGGGGCUCGAGCACUGUAGGGGAAGAUGGAAUUCCGGGUGUAGCGGUGGAAUGCGUAGAGAUCCGGAAGAACACCGGUGGCGAAGGCGGUCUGCUGGGCAGUUGCUGACACUGAGGCGCGACAGCGUGGGGAGCAAACAGG